GGGCUUGGUCCAGGAAAUCUUAAAACGUAUCAUGGUUUUACAGCUGCUGCAUUAGGGGACAUACGAUCUCUGACCUUUUUUCUACAGGUCCCCAGGUUCUGCUGAGAGGGAUCCAGAGUCCUUAAGAGAAAAUUGUAAGCCAGAUGCCAACUCUGGGGCAAACCUCCGUCCUGCUUCCUCUGGAAGACGGCAGUUUUCUGUUCCUGCUAAGCCCUAAGCAGACGCAGCCUCCAGGCCAGUUUCGACCUUCAGACGGUGCUUUGGUGUGGCCUGUUGCUUUAUCACUUCCUAUCCCGGCACAGAAAUCCAACCCCAGCCCCAGCCCUGAGGACCUAGAUCCCUGCCUCAAGUCCCUCUGUGUGGCUGAGACCUCACUCCUGGUAGCAGCUUCCUGAAAGUCGAGCCUUCUCGGUUUCACUCUGUGACCAAUUCCACACUACACUUCUUUCCUUUUCACCCAGCACUCACGGCUAUUUAUCACAGCAGAGUUAGCACUGCCCGGAACAGAGAGCCCGCUGUUUAGACAGUAAAUUCAACAGACUUUGUUGUGUAACUCCCUGUACCGAUAAAAAGACAAAAGAGCUUCACUGAAAAAGAAAAAAAAUCAACGCCCAAGAGUCCAAUUCUCAUGUUGAUGAGGAGCAGGGAAACCAAAGGAGCUCUAGGUUCCUGGUCCUCGUCCUCCCUUCUGGCUUCCCCUCCUUCCCUUUCAGACUUGUAUAAUCACACCAAGCCACUGGGCAGCGGAAGCCCCGAGAGGUGGACACCAUAUCUCACCUCCUUCCUCCUAACAUCUCAGCACCUAAGGGAAAGCACACUGCCACGAUGUGGUUUAUGAAGAGCCGGAUCUGCUCUGUGCAGAGAAACCGACCCGAUUUCUUUGUGGAAAGAUUACAAAUAUUUUAGAAAGGUGACACAUAGUGGCUUCAAGGUGUUGCUACUUUUUGGUAGCUUUGACUGUAACAGUAUGAGCCCAUUAUAUUUACAACUAUGUACGCCAUCGGAAUUAAAUUAAUGACCCUAGUACUGUCUGUGAGCUUCUUUCCUAUAAGCACAUUAAAAGUCUGGUACAAACAAA